rnacentral:lncRNA from 1 species
UUUUUUUUGCGUAAAUGCAAUGCAAACAUGGUACGUAGGAAAUUUUCUGAGAAACGAAGUCCUACAAAAAUUCUUACGAAAUUUUAUUGAACCAAAGAGGCCACAAAAAUCUAACCAGAAAACUCUUUGGUCUAUUUUUCGAAACCCACGUCAGCGUUCCUCUCUCCUUUUCGAGGGAAAGGUACGGCACUAGCUGGCAUGGGGCGCUCCUCCUCUUUACCCGAAAGGAGCGGACCGGGGCGGCCCCAUCGCACGCCCGAUCGCCAGCGGGCGCGGGAGCAGCGCAGACGACAGCCAAUCCCAACGCCCCCUCCAACGCUAGGCUCACAGCCCAGCCGGUAGCCAGCCCCACACCCCCAUCGCACACCCCACCCCACUGGCGUGUGUGUUGCCUCGCUGCCACGCCCGGCCGGCGGGUGACUGGUGGGCGUGCCGGAUGGGCAGGGAGACCGGCCGUACUCCUCCACCACGCCUGCCAUCGCCGUGCCCCCACCCCUCAUGCACCUCGUCCUCCUGCCCCGCUGUGCCGUGCGUUCCCUGUUGCUCCCCUUCGCAGGUCCUUUUCCUUCGAAAAAUAUUAAGGGCGACCUUGCUUGCAGGGUUGCCUUGACCAGUUGCUCCUCCAAGCAUCCAAAGGCCAGGCCAAGCUUUUGUUCAUCUGAAAAUCACACUUGUAGACACUCGUUUCGGCUAGUACUAUAUGCAAAAGCAGGUCGCGUGGCAAUGAUACCUUGCAGACAAAAAUGCUUUGGGUUUUGGUUUAUCCUCUGCGGAAUCACGGGUUCAUGUCUGUCAGUCUCAAUCGCAAAUGAGUACUACCAGUUCAUCUUUUCACUCGUUGCAAAAGGACUCGUUCUACAAAGGUCAAACUCGAAAUGGAGUAGUAGUAGAUCACAAAGGCUCUCAGUUUGAUUUGAUUCAUAGAGGGAAACAGCUAGCAAAGGAGGCUAAAAGUGGAGUAGCCAACUAAAAAAUCACAACCACACCACACUGCCGCUCACAAAAAAAAGAAAGUGAUCCGAACCAACUACUAACCCAUCGCCAAAAUCGAACUACCACCCGCCGCAAGCAACUAAAGAACCGGCUAAAUCGUCUUCUACAUUCUCGGCUACUUUGUACAGUUUGCUCGUCGGAAUG